rnacentral:rRNA from 1 species
AUUGAACGCUGGCGGCAUGCCUUACACAUGCAAGUCGAACGGCAGCACGGGUGCUUGCACCUGGUGGCGAGUGGCGAACGGGUGAGUAAUACAUCGGAACAUGUCCUGUAGUGGGGGAUAGCCCGGCGAAAGCCGGAUUAAUACCGCAUACGAUCUACGGAUGAAAGCGGGGGACCUUCGGGCCUCGCGCUAUAGGGUUGGCCGAUGGCUGAUUAGCUAGUUGGUGGGGUAAAGGCCUACCAAGGCGACGAUCAGUAGCUGGUCUGAGGGGACGACCAGCCACACUGGGACUGAGACACGGCCCAGACUCCUACGGGAGGCAGCAGUGGGGAAUUUUGGACAAUGGGCGAAAGCCUGAUCCAGCAAUGCCGAGUGUGUGAAGAAGGCCUUCGGGUUGUAAAGCACUUUUGUCCGGAAAGAAAUCCUUGGCCCUAAUACGGUCGGGGGAUGACGGUACCGGAAGAAUAAGCACCGGCUAACUACGUG